GCCAGCAUGGUGUAGUGGUUUGAGCAUUGGACUAUAACUCUGGACACCAGGGUUCAAAUCCCUGCUCAUCCA